UAAUUAUAGAAGAAUCCAUUCAUGUUGUUUUCAAUGAGAUUUCUGAAAUUAAGAAAAAUGACUUUGAUGAUGAUGUUAAUUUUGAUUCUUUGAAUUUAAAUGGAAACCCUUCUCCAACUAGCAACUUGGAUGCAUUCACUUCCGAAACAUCCUUACCCAAGGAUUGGAAGUAUAUAGAUGCUCAUCCUAAGGAGCUAAUCCCAG
rnacentral:lncRNA from 1 species